rnacentral:rRNA from 1 species
UACAGAGGGGGCAAGCGUUAUUCGGAAUUAUUGGGCGUAAAGGGCGCGUAGGCGGCUUUGCAAGUGACGGGUGAAAUCCCUCGGCUUAACCGAGGAACUGCCUGUCAGACUGCAUGGCUCGAGACCAGGAGAGGUGAGUGGAAUUCCCAGUGUAGCGGUGAAAUGCGUAGAUAUUGGGAGGAACACCAGUGGCGAAGGCGGCUCACUGGACUGGUACUGACGCUGAUGCGCGAAAGCGUGGGGAGUAAACAGG